UGAGGAAUAUUGCGCAAUGGGGGCAACCCUGACGCAGCAACGCCGCGUGAGUGAGGAAGGUUUUCGGAUCGUAAAGCUCUGUCGGGUGGGAAGAAAUGUAUGGAGGUUAAUAGCCUUUGUACUUGACGGUACCGCCAAAGGAAGCACCGGCUAACUCCGUGCCAGCAGCCGCGGUAAUACGGGGGGUGCAAGCGUUGUUCGGAAUCAUUGGGCGUAAAGAGCGUGUAGGCGGCUAGGCAAGUCAGAUGUGAAAUCCCUGGGCUUAACCCAGGACGUGCAUUUGAAACUGCUUAGCUUGAGUAAGGAAGAGGGAAGUGGAAUUCCUGGUGUAGAGGUGAAAUUCGUAGAUAUCAGGAGGAACACCGGUGGCGAAGGCGACUUCCUGGUCCUAUACUGACGCUGAGACGCGAGAGCGUGGGGAGCAAACA
rnacentral:rRNA from 1 species